rnacentral:rRNA from 1 species
UACGUAGGGUGCGAGCGUUAAUCGGAAUUACUGGGCGUAAAGCGUGCGCAGGCGGUUUUGUAAGCCAGAUGUGAAAUCCCCGGGCUUAACCUGGGAAUGGCAUUUGGGACUGCAAGGCUCGAGUGCGGCAGAGGAGACUGGAAUUCCUGGUGUAGCAGUGAAAUGCGUAGAUAUCAGGAGGAACACCGAUGGCGAAGGCAGGUCUCUGGGCAAUUCCUGACGCUGAGGCGCGAAAGCGUGGGGAGCAAACGGG